rnacentral:tRNA from 1 species
GCACUCGUAGCUCAGCUGGAUAGAGCAUCAGCUUGCGGAGCUGAGGGUCGCAGGUUCAAAUCCUGCCGAGUGCACCA